rnacentral:misc_RNA from 1 species
UUUUAACCAAAGCCACUUCUAAAUUUCAUUGAUUGAUCUAUUGAAAUAGAAACAAGAAGCAAGUAGUCCACCAAAAUACAGGAGCUAACUUUCUACGUAAAAAAGUGUACAAAUGGGCAUUAGAGUUUAAGGUCAUAAGCCAAAUAUAUGGUCAUUUGCACCAAAUAUGGCAGCAUUGAAUUGCCGUGUAUUCAAAUCACUCCCAUCCAAUGCAGAACCAAAUCGAUCAAGCCACUGCGUUGGGCUUGGAUUAUCACUUUCCUCUACCCAUUCUGAGGUCAUAUCAAUGUCGUCAAAUUGGAUAGGAUCACUUUCUAAUGAUUUCGUUCUCAUUUGCCUGGUCAACUUGAGAUUAUAGUUUAUAUAAACAAGGUCAUUCAAUGAUUCUUUAUCAAUCUUAUUGCGCUUUUCAGAGUGAAUUUGCUGAAAUGUGUUCCAAUGUCUCUCAAAAGUAAAAGUGCUGCAGACCUGACUCAGGAUUCUGAUGGCAACUCGUUGCAAUACUGGUGCAGAGUCACCAAAUUGUUCCCACCAAAGCCCAGGCGCAACUGUAUCUCGCGCCUCCAUUGCUAAAUUGCAACCAAACAUUCCACUUGCCCUUGUAAAAAUAAAAAUCUGAUUAGUGAUGUCACGUCUCAUUUCAGGAGUAGGAAGCAGUUUCUCAAUAACCUUGAAAAAGUCUUCUUUAAUAGAUACGAGAAAUUUUAUCUCAGGAUUGUACUGGACACUUGGGUUCAAAAAAGCAGCUGCCGAAUGAAGAGGUGAAUGGAGCUGAUCUCGCCACUUUCUGUCCACUAUAUCUAAAAAGGUCUUGCAUUUGCUCUCAUCCAUUAUGUAGUAAGUUCUUAUUGAUUCUUUGGCCCUGGUCAUCAACUCAUAUAUAGACCCCACAGCAGGUUUACCACCAGAUACUUCCCUCAACACUUUGAGAAAGGGCUCAGAGAUGGCCACACUUUCUUCUACUGCUCUCCAGAAAUCUCCAUCCUCAACAAUGGUAAUACAAGCUAUGUUUUGCGGUUUGUUUGCAUAUGCUGAAUUUGUAGAAUACUCAUUGCUGCUGAACAUUAGCUUCAACCUUGAUCUUUGCUUCAACAUUGAUUGCAGUGAUAGAAAAUUGGAUACAGACUUUGUGAUACCAGUCUUGAUUAAGUCCUGCCCUCCAGUAAAUUUCUUCAUCAGAUCAAGCAUUGAGGCAUUAUUGUAUAUAAACUUUGAUAGUGUUUGCGCUUGCAAGAUACAUCUGUUUACCCAAUCAACUUUAGAGAACUCCUCCAAAAUUAAAUUCAGACAUUGAGAAGCACAGGGAGACACAAAAAUUGUUCCAUAAUUCUGCAGUAUAUGGUUGGCAAUACCAGUAUAGUUGAAACUACUAUCCAUAAUUAUCUGCACAACAUUUUCAGCACCGAAGUCUUGAAUAACAGAAUCAAAUAGAUCAGCAAGGCACUUGGUAUUCUUAAAGUAUGAUGAUGCAUCUACAGACUUGUGGAAGAAGGUCCUAGAGGGCGAGGAAACAAAAAAGUUAAUCAAAGCUCUAGAUUUGUUGUCUGUCCAUGUGUCUGCAAUGAUAGUACAACCUGUGGUAGCCCACUCUUUCUCAAUAUCUUUCAAUUGCAAGCUCACUUCAGAUUUGAUCCUUUCCAACCAAGUAGUCUUCAACAUUUCUACUGAAGGGCCUGCAAAUCCUGAACCACAUUUUCCUAUUGCAUCAAUCAUUAGCUGAUAGGAUGGAGAGCGUGCAACACUAAAGUCCAACUUAUUCUCAAAAAAGAAAAGUGCAAUGCUUCUUUCAGCAUUUUCUUGGUUACUUAAAGAGGAAGGGGUCACUGAUGUAACAAUAGGAUAAACUUUAGCAACUGGAGAUGCUGACUCCACACCCAUGAGAGCUUUAGUUGCAGAUAUAUUUCCAGGAGAUUUGGCUUCUGCAGGCUUCUGUUUUUUAGCACUACAUGGUUCUUUGAUGUCCUCCUUUGAUGAUAUUAUAGCCCUUACCCUGUCAGUGACAUCAUCUCUCACCUUGCUGCAUGGAUUUACGCCUUUACUUGGAAGCCUAGAUAGAUGAUGCUUCAAUCUACUAAUGCCACCAUUCAAAACCCUGAGGCAAAAUUUGCACUUCACCUUGUUUCCAUCUAAUUUUUCAGCAUAUUCCCAACAAACAUCUUUUUCUCGAACCAUGACUAUUUAGAUAAUCUUUUGUGGUCCUGAACGUUGACCUAUACAAUGGGUAAAAGAAACACAUUUGUUAGAAAGCUGUAACUGCUGAAGAAGCAUGUAGUGGUGUGCAUGUGCAAGUGAAACAUUUGUUGAUACAAUAUUCCAGAAGUUUACUAAUAAUCAGUUGCAUGUUAUUGGACGAAUCCCACAACCUUACAUCUUAUUUGAUCAUCUUACAAUUUAAAAAAAAAAAUUAAUACAGGUUUUAAUCCACUCUUUCCAUCAUCGGAAACAAAUAUUCCUUGAGAAGCACAAGCACUUAAUUAAAUGUUAGUGCAUAAAUUAGGGCAGAACACCCAGGAAUUUGAACAAAAAAUCAAUGGCUCAUGACAAAAGGUUUGCUUAUUGUAUGCUCAAAUUGUUCUCCAAUAGAUCACAGUUCCAAUCACAGUUAAGUUUGUGUCGAAGGAAAAUAUUUUGGAAAAUACAUUUAUGUCUAGUUUAGCUUUUCACUCAACAAAAUCAAAAUCUACAGUGAACUCGUUUGCGUUGUAGAGCUCAAAAAUUUCACUCAUGUUCUCGGUAAGCAAACAGAGGAUCGAGUGAUAAUCUUCAACACAAGAAUGACACAUCCAUUCAAUUAAGCAUUGAGGUAUGAAAUGGAAAAUACUAAUUAAUAAAUUUUAUCGAAAAAGAAAAACGAAAGAGAAGAGGAAAAGGAGCAAGAAACAAAAAGAAGAGAAUUAGCGAGAAACUUGAGGAGCUUACGGAGAGAGAAGCUUUGGUCUUCUCGACGGAGAGAUAAUCGGAGGUCGCAGAUUUGGGAGUUUCUUUUCUUUAUUUAUCGCGAGAUUUUGGAGCUUCAGGUUUAGGCCAUUAGGGUUUUGUUUUUUCUCCUUCUGUCGUCCUUCCUUAUCCUCUCUUUUCUCGUUUUCAGAUUUUUU